UUAAGUUCAGCGGGUAGUCCUACCUGAUUUGAGGUCAAAUUCAUCAAAAUGUGGGAGGAGUUUUCCUCUCACUUGUUGGAAGCAGUGUAAUCUGUUCAUGCAGCAUACCAAGGUAUAGAUAAUUAUCACACCUGUAGUAGUUUCCUCUGCUCAGAUACUGCUAAUGAAUUUCAGGGGAGCAGACCUCAAGAAAGCCUGCA
rnacentral:misc_RNA from 1 species